CCAGUUGACCGGGUGGCCGCUCCUGUUUCCGUGGGAGAGGAAAGUCCGGGCUCCAUCGAAAUACGGUGACGGCUAACGGCCGCCGGGGGCGACCCCAGGGAAAGUGCCACAGAAAGCAAACCGCCUUCGCCUCGGCGUCGGUAAGGAUGAAAGGGUGCGGUAAGAGCGCACCGCGGACCUGGCAACAGGGACGGCACGGCAAACCCCACCGGGAGCAAGACCAAAUAGGGAUGACGCGGGGACAGGGUGAAAGCCCUUUGCCCCAGCCGGUUUUCGAGGCCUGUCAUCCGGGUUGGUUGCAUAAGGCCGGCAGUAAUGCCGGUCAAAGAUGAAUGGUCACCACGUCAGCGCCGUGAGGCGCCGGCCCUACAGAACCCGGCUUAUAGGUCAACUGGCAUU
rnacentral:RNase_P_RNA from 2 species